AUGGCCUGGUGGUGGAUAGGGAGGAGUGGAUAGUGGAAGAGAGAUGUGGAGAGUAGGAUGGUGGAAGGGGGAGGUGGAGGUGGCUAUGGCGGACGUGACUGGGUUGAGGUGGUGGUUGUGGUGGUGUUUGGUAUGGUUGGAAUGGUUGUAGAGGGUGUUGCUAGUGAUGGUGAACGUGACUGGCUUAUGUUAAAGGUGGUUGUGGUUGUUGGGGAUGGUGGUGGUUGUGUGACAGUGGUGGGUGCAGCGGACGCAACGGUGUUGUGGUUGUUGGGUGUGGUUGAGGAUUGCCAUGGUGGUGGUGGUGGAGGUGAUAGGUGGCGGUGGUCGUAGUCGGAGCGGGCUAAGCGGUGGUGGUGGUGGUGUAAAAAGGUGUUUAUCGGACGGAGUGGAAGUGGUGGUGGUGGCGGUGAUACGAUUAUCAGGGAUGAGAGAGAGAGAGAGAGAGAGAGAGAGAGAGAGAGAGAGAGAGAGAGAGAGAGUGUGUGUGUGUGUGUGUGUGUGUACUCCUAUAAUCAGCAAAUUGCAGUCACUCGUUCGCUUGUUUCACCUCUCUGUUUCAGGCCUUCUCUCCCCUUCCCUUCCUCCCCGCUCCCUUCCUAACCUGCCCGCCACCCUCUCCCCGCUUUUUCCUGCCUGUCCUCCCCUGCUCCUCGUGUCCCAGGUGACCCAUGAACUACCUCUAACAAUGGUGAUGAAGAACCAGAAGUGGGUUGUAGGUGACGAGAUAACUAUCCCAGGUCAUCCCGGAAGUGGCGAGGUGACCCCAUACAGCUCCACAAGGUCGUGGAGGACGCCAGACAUAGCCACGUGGUUGUUUAAUCUACUACUACUACUACUACUACUACUAAUAAUAAUAAUAAUAAUAAUAAUACUCGUACUACUACUACUAAUCGUACUACUACUACUACUACUAAUCGUACUACUACUAGUACUACUCGUACUACUACUAGUACUACUCGUACUACUACUACUACUUCUACUACUACUACUACUACAACAACAACAACUACUACUACUACUACUACUACUACUACUACUACUACUACUACUACUACUACUAACACAUCUACUACCACCACCACCACCACCACCACCACCACCACCACUACUACUACUACUACUACUACUACUACUACUACUACUAUCACCACCACCACCACCACCACCACCACCACCACCACCACCACUACUACUACUACUACUACCACCACCACCACGAAUACCACCACCACUACUACUACCACCGCCACAACCACCACUACUACCACCGCCUCCACUACUACCACCGACACUACCACCACCACCACCACCACCACCACCACCACCACCACUACUACCACCGUCACCACUACUACCACCGCCACCACCACCACUACUACCACUACCACUGCUACCACCACCAUCACCACUACCACUACUACUACCACCACCACAACCAACACCACCAACACCACCACAACCACCGCCACCACCACCACCACUACUACUACCACUACCACUGCUACUACUACUACUACCAGCACUACCACCAGUACUACUACUACUUUUACUGCUACUACUACUACUACUACUACUGUUGCAGGUGACCCAUGAACUACCUCUAACAAUGGUGAUGAAGAACCAGAAGUGGGUUGUAGGUGACGAGAUAACUAUCCCAGGUCAUCCCGGAAGUGGCGAGGUGACCCCAUACAGCUCCACAAGGUCGUGGAGGACGCCAGACAUAGCCACGUGGUCGCCUACACUCAGCCAUCCACCUCACCUGCCCCAGACUGCUACCCGGACACCAUCCAGCCACAAGAACCCAGAUAAGCACUUCCGGGGUCAUUGGUUGUGGUUAGCUAGCUAGUUUGUUUAGGGGUCACUUGCUGUACAUAGGAACCCUCCUCGGUCUGAUGCUAUUUUUUUUAUUUUUAUUUUUGAGGUGUAACGCUGUGCUCUACGUGAGAGUGAUAGUGUUUAUCUUUAUUUAUUUAUUUUUUUUUUUCCUGAAGACCAGUUCUGAGGUUAUCUUGGAGGUUAACGGAGAAGAGUUCUUCACACCUGUGUUUGUUGUUUUUUUUUAUUUUUUUUAUUGGUCGUUUUUUGUUUUUUUGUUAUGAUUGUUAUUAAUUUUAUUUAUUUGUAUUGAAAUAUGUGAGUGUGAAUGCAGCACAAUAUAUAAAGUUGUGCAUUCCAGAGUGAAAGGAAGGCGUGCACAGGGUAGAGUGCACAGGAUGCAGUGCCUUGUUUUUAUCACCAGACCUUGAUUGAUUGAAGCAAAUGAAAACUUUGGUAUAAAUUGUUAUCUUUCCAAGGGUUGAGGAGAACAUGGUCGUGGUUCAAGUGAAGCCACUACAGCCACUCCCUGACAAGCCUUCCACAUCGACAGACAGUGGCAGCAGACACACAAGAGACGAUGGUGUGGUGGACAAGAGGAUGCAGGGAGACAGCAGACAGAAUGGAAGCUACAGAUGAAAGAAGAGCAGGUCAAGCCAUGGCAGCAGACACAUAGACAGACAGAUUGGAUAAGAAAGAAGUAUUAUUUAGUGAGACAGGACCACUGGAAGCUGUCAGAGUGCUGUGGCACGUGGCAAGAACCAAGUGUUCAGGAGCACACACUGUCCCUUCACCAGUCAGCAGAUCUGGGCGGCUUGGAAGCCUCACUACAAACUGAAGACCCGUUCACUUGAAGGACACAGUUGGAGUCGGACACAAGAUCCAAGACGGAGCUAUUUUUAAACGAGAGCUUCAGACAGAAAAUUCGAGUGGAUUUUCAACUCUAAAAAUAACUUUUUUGGGGGGGAUAUUUUGAACCUUCUUUAUCUUGAAAAAUAACUCCAGAUAUUAUGACUCUAGCUGGAAGUUGACCUGAGCAAUGUAGGGUUUGCUGCAGUGAGAUUACCAAGGCACGAGUGUCUGGGAUUUAAAGAUGAUGGAUAUGUGUCCUGUGUGCUGCUGUGCUGGGAGGAGAGGAGCAGCAGCAGUCGUGGGGCUCUGUUGCUGCUGUCACUGGUGCAGCUGUUCACUCCUGCAGCUACCUUCCCUCAACAUACUGUGUCUUCCCACACCUGCAAUGAACAACUAUGAACAAUACUUCUCCUGCGAUGAGGAACAGUGAAUAACACCUCUCUCUCUCUCUCUCUCUCUCUCUCUCUCUCUCUCUCUCUCUCUCUCUCUCUCUCUCUCUCUCUCUCUCUCUCUCUCUCUCUCUCUCUCUCUCUCCACAGUAUGUCCCCCACAGUAUGUUUACAAGCCCACAGUGACUCUCCACAGCCCCUCACCAACAAUUGUCUCCUUCACACACACACACACACACACACACACACACUGUUGGAAUCUUGUAGUGUCUACAACAAUGAAUGGAACCAAAAUCGAUAA